GACAGAGGGGGCAAGCGUUGCUCGGAAUCACUGGGCGUAAAGGGCGCGUAGGCGGGAUGGCAAGUCGGUCGUGAAAUCCUUCGGCUCAACCGAAGAACGUCGGCCGAUACUGCCGUUCUUGAGGGAUGCAGAGGAGAUUGGAAUUCCCGGUGUAGCGGUGAAAUGUGUAGAUAUUGGGAAGAACACCUGAGGCGAAGGCGGGUUGCUGGGCCGACACUGACGCUGAGGCGCGAAAGCCAGGGGAGCAAACGGG
rnacentral:rRNA from 1 species